AGAGUUUGAUCAUGGCUCAGAUUGAACGCUGGCGGCAGGCCUAACACAUGCAAGUCGAACGGUAACAGGAAGCAGCUUGCUGCUUCGCUGACGAGUGGCGGACGGGUGAGUAAUGUCUGGGAAGCUGCCUGAUGGAGGGGGAUAACUACUGGAAACGGUAGCUAAUACCGCAUAAUGUCGCAAGACCAAAGAGGGGGACCUUCGGGCCUCUUGCCAUCGGAUGUGCCCAGAUGGGAUUAGCUUGUUGGUGGGGUAACGGCUCACCAAGGCGACGAUCCCUAGCUGGUCUGAGAGGAUGACCAGCCACACUGGAACUGAGACACGGUCCAGACUCCUACGGGAGGCAGCAGUGGGGAAUAUUGCACAAUGGGCGCAAGCCUGAUGCAGCCAUGCCGCGUGUAUGAAGAAGGCCUUCGGGUUGUAAAGUACUUUCAGCGGGGAGGAAGGGAGUAAAGUUAAUACCUUUGCUCAUUGACGUUACCCGCAGAAGAAGCACCGGCUAACUCUGUGCCAGCAGCCGCGGUAAUACGGAGGGUGCAAGCGUUAAUCGGAAUUACUGGGCGUAAAGCGCACGCAGGCGGUUUGUUAAGUCAGAUGUGAAAUCCCCGGGCUCAACCUGGGAACUGCAUCUGAUACUGGCAAGCUUGAGUCUCGUAGAGGGGGGUAGAAUUCCAGGUGUAGCGGUGAAAUGCGUAGAGAUCUGGAGGAAUACCGGUGGCGAAGGCGGCCCCCUGGACGAAGACUGACGCUCAGGUGCGAAAGCGUGGGGAGCAAACAGGAUUAGAUACCCUGGUAGUCCACGCCGUAAACGAUGUCGACUUGGAGGUUGUGCCCUUGAGGCGUGGCUUCCGGAGCUAACGCGUUAAGUCGACCGCCUGGGGAGUACGGCCGCAAGGUUAAAACUCAAAUGAAUUGACGGUGGCCCGCACAAGCGGUGGAGCAUGUGGUUUAAUUCGAUGCAACGCGAAGAACCUUACCUGGUCUUGACAUCCACGGAAGUUUUCAGAGAUGAGAAUGUGCCUUCGGGAACCGUGAGACAGGUGCUGCAUGGCUGUCGUCAGCUCGUGUUGUGAAAUGUUGGGUUAAGUCCCGCAACGAGCGCAACCCUUAUCCUUUGUUGCCAGCGGUCCGGCCGGGAACUCAAAGGAGACUGCCAGUGAUAAACUGGAGGAAGGUGGGGAUGACGUCAAGUCAUCAUGGCCCUUACGACCAGGGCUACACACGUGCUACAAUGGCGCAUACAAAGAGAAGCGACCUCGCGAGAGCAAGCGGACCUCAUAAAGUGCGUCGUAGUCCGGAUUGGAGUCUGCAACUCGACUCCAUGAAGUCGGAAUCGCUAGUAAUCGUGGAUCAGAAUGCCACGGUGAAUACGUUCCCGGGCCUUGUACACACCGCCCGUCACACCAUGGGAGUGGGUUGCAAAAGAAGUAGGUAGCUUAACCUUCGGGAGGGCGCUUACCACUUUGUGAUUCAUGACUGGGGUGAAGUCGUAACAAGGUA
rnacentral:rRNA from 1 species